rnacentral:rRNA from 1 species
CCCUUAGAUGUUCUGGGCUGCACGCGCGCUACACUGACGCACGCAACAGGUGCCUGCUCCGAGAGGACUGGGUAAUCAUUUGAGUGUGCGUCGUGAUGGGGAUAGAAUAUUGUAAUUAUUACUCUUCAACGAGGAAUUCCUAGUAAGCGCCAGUCAGCAGCUUGCGCUGAAUACGUCCCUGCCCUUUGUACACACCGCCCGUCGCUCCUACCGAUUGAGUGGUCCGGUGAGGCUUUGGGAUCUGAGCGGAAAGAGCGUUUCGCUGUUUCUGCUCGGAAAACUCAGUCGAACCUUAUCAUUUAGAGGAAGGAGAAGUCGUAACA